GUGGAGAUGGCUCAGUGGUUCAGAGCACUGAUUGUUCUUCCGAAGGUCCUGAGUUCAAAUCCCAGCAAUCACA
rnacentral:tRNA from 1 species